GUUAAAAUAAUAACAACAACAACAACAAAUAGCAAAAAAUAAUAAUAAUAUUAAUAAAAAAUAAAAAUAAUAAAAUUUAAAAAAAAAUUAAUUAAUUAAAAAACCAAGAGUAACAACUCAUGGAAUUUUCCAGUCCGUGAGCUAAGAUUUUCAUCCGAUCACUCAGAAUUCAUAGGCAUAAAUAUUUAACAUUGUAUUGUAGAGAUCCAGUAGAUCAAAAACUAUUUCAACCAUUGUAGGCCUACAGUUAUAAAUAUUUAUCUAUAUACUUCUUGAAUUAAAAGCUAAACAUGCCAUUGUACACUGUAGCCUAUUAAUAUACCAACGCAUCAAAAUCAAACACAAUCGAUAGACAAAAUAUACACACAGUAAAUGUGAACAUUCAAAUCCUCUAAGUGUAUACUACAAUGUCAUAAACAAUGCGAGAUAAUGUCAUUUCAAACGUGAAAGACAAACAUACGCUCAGAAAUAGACACAUGUGAUACAAACGAAGUUUAAAUUCUCUCAGUAUGCCUACACAAGUGUAACAGUACACACAUCAACCGACAAGAAAGUAGAUCUUCAUUGAACGGACCCACUGUUCGUGGGGGAGGGGGGGGGGGCGAUGGCUGAGUGGUUACGCGCUCGGCUUCUGAGCCUGGGGUCCUGGGUUAGAAUCUCGGUGAAGACUGGGAUUUUGAAUUUCGG